rnacentral:rRNA from 1 species
CUGCUGCCUCCCGUAGGAGUCUGGUCCGUGUCUCAGUACCAGUGUGGGGGGCCUUCCUCUCAGAACCCCUACGCAUCGUCGCCUCGGUGGGCCGUUACUCCGCCGACUAGCUAAUGCGCCGCAUGCCCAUCCGUGGCCGGGAUUGCUCCCUUUGGCGGCCUUGGGAUGUCCCUAGGCCGCGUUACGCGGUAUUAGACGGGGUUUCCCCCGCUUAUCCCCCUGCCACGGGCAGGUUGCAUACGUGUUACUCACCCGUGCGCCGGUCGCCGGCAACGG